rnacentral:rRNA from 1 species
AUGAGCCGCAAAGGGGUUCGCCAAGGCGACCCCCAUUCACCUUUCUUGUUUAACCUUGCCGUUGAGUACCUUUCGAAGAUGAUCUUUAAUCCUCAAAAAGAAAAGUUAAUUACUGGUCUAGCCCUUGAUCUGAUUGAAGGGGGUGUAGUUGUGUUGCAAUAUGCGGAUGAUACGGUGCUAUGUUUGGAGCAUGACACUUCUGCUGCAUUAAACCUCAAACUGCUCCUUUAUAUGUUUCAGCUUAUGUCGGGCCUUAAAAUCAACUAUCUUAAGAGUGAAAUUUUGUGUGUGGGAGGUGACAACAGCAUCCUAGAUUACUAUGCGGAGCUCUUCAAUUGCCAAAUAGGGCAUUUUCCUAUGCGAUACCUUGGGGUACCAGUCAAUUUUUCCUCUCUUAGAUGCCUUGAGUGGAUCUUUGUUGAUGAAAAACUUGGCAAAUGCUGUGAAUCCUGGAUAGGUAACGCUGCUUCCUCGGGUGGAUGGCUCACUUUAUUGAACUCCUCCCUUUCUAGCAUAGUGUAUUAUUAUAUGGCUAUGUUUCUUCUCCCUAAAACUUUCACUGAGAAACUUGAGAAGUUGCCGGCGAAAAAUUAA